UAACGCGUGGGUAACCUGCCCUUUUGUGGGGAACAACUUCGAGAAAUCGGAGCUAAUACCGCAUAAUAAUAGAGGAUCGCAUGAUUCUUUAAGGAAAGAUGGCCUCUGAAGAUGCUAUCGCAAAAGGAUGGACCCGCGUCUGAUUAGCUAGUUGGAAGGGUAACGGCCUACCAAGGCAACGAUCAGUAGCCGGCCUGAGAGGGUGAACGGCCACAUUGGGACUGAGACACGGCCCAAACUCCUACGGGAGGCAGCAGUGGGGAAUCUUCCGCAAUGGGCGAAAGCCUGACGGAGCAAUGCCGCGUGAGUGAAGAAGGCCUUCGGGUUGUAAAACUCUGUCCUUAUCGAAGAGAGGUAGGUAUGUGAAUAAUGUACCUAUAGGACGGUAGAUAAGGAGGAAGCCCCGGCUAACUACGUGCCAGCAGCCGCGGUAAUACGUAGGGGGCGAGCGUUGUCCGGAAUCACUGGGCGUAAAGGGCGCGUAGGCGGUUUAAUAAGUCAGUGGUGAAAACUGAGGGCUCAACCCUCAGCCUGCCACUGAUACUGUUAGACUUGAGUAUGGAAGAGGAGAAUGGAAUUCCUAGUGUAGCGGUGAAAUGCGUAGAUAUUAGGAGGAACACCAGUGGCGAAGGCGGCCUGCUGGGCUUUAACUGACGCUGAGGCUCGAAAGCGUGGGGAGCAAACAGGAUUAGAUACCCUGGUAGU
rnacentral:rRNA from 1 species